rnacentral:sRNA from 1 species
GCCAUUUUGGCUCAAGU